rnacentral:rRNA from 1 species
GAUGAACGCUGGCGGCGUGCUUAACACAUGCAAGUCGAACGGUGAAGCAGGAGCUUGCUCCUGUGGAUCAGUGGCGAACGGGUGAGUAACACGUGAGUAACCUGCCCUUGACUCUGGGAUAAGCGUUGGAAACGACGUCUAAUACCGGAUACGAGCUUCGGAGGCAUCUCCAGGAGCUGGAAAGAACUUCAGUCAAGGAUGGACUCGCGGCCUAUCAGCUAGUUGGUGAGGUAACGGCUCACCAAGGCGACGACGGGUAGCCGGCCUGAGAGGGUGACCGGCCACACUGGGACUGAGACACGGCCCAGACUCCUACGGGAGGCAGCAGUGGGGAAUAUUGCACAAUGGGCGCAAGCCUGAUGCAGCAACGCCGCGUGAGGGACGACGGCCUUCGGGUUGUAAACCUCUUUUAGUAGGGAAGAAGCGAAAGUGACGGUACCUGCAGAAAAAGCACCGGCUAACUACGUGCCAGCAGCCGCGGUAACCA